UACGUAGGGUGCAAGCGUUGCCCGGAAUUAUUGGGCGUAAAGAGCUCGUAGGCGGUCUGUCGCGUCGGAUGUGAAAACCCAGGGCUCAACCCUGGGCCUGCAUUCGAUACGGGCAGACUAGAGUUCGGUAGGGGAGACUGGAAUUCCUGGUGUAGCGGUGAAAUGCGCAGAUAUCAGGAGGAACACCGGUGGCGAAGGCGGGUCUCUGGGCCGAAACUGACGCUGAGGAGCGAAAGCGUGGGGAGCGAACAGG
rnacentral:rRNA from 1 species